GAAACCACUACGUCUUUUGAGGAUUGUCUGAAGACUUUCCUAUGUCUAAGGACCAAGGGAGACUGCCUGGCUGGGUACCUGGGCUCUCCAUUAGAAACCGUCCCAGGAGUGGGUCCCCAAGGCAGCCUAAAGGAACCGUGACACUCGCUGAUGUAAGAGAAGCCGUUUAAGCAUUGCCACAUAAAGAAGAAACGCCAGAUCCAGAUGUGAAGUGUACAUCAGGUGAAGACAUGAUAAAGGGAUGAAGACAGCUAAUCAGGAGGCAAUCUGUGAGACUCUCCAGACCCAGAGCUCACCACAGUUCUUGCUGAAGCUACGAGAACACUCGAGCAAUAAUUCACAUUGUCAGGUCAGCAGAAACGGACACGAGGGUCUGAUAUGACCAAGAUUUGCUUAAGGGAUCUUUCUGAGAAUUGAAUAGCUCCGAAGAGGUACGUGCCUUUCCACAGAAAAAAUAUCCCUGAAGAUGUUGAGCACAAGCAGCAAUGAAAAUGGAUCUCGGCAGCAUCUCGUGCCACUGUUACAGAUGCCAUUCCAUUCCAAAGGAGGCAGAUCAACCAC